GACGAACGCUGGCGGCGUGCUUAACACAUGCAAGUCGAACGGAAAGGCCCUGCUUUUGUGGGGUGCUCGAGUGGCGAACGGGUGAGUAACACGUGAGUAACCUGCCCUUGACUUUGGGAUAACUUCAGGAAACUGGGGCUAAUACCGGAUAGGAGCUCCUGCUGCAUGGUGGGGGUUGGAAAGUUUCGGCGGUUGGGGAUGGACUCGCGGCUUAUCAGCUUGUUGGUGGGGUAGUGGCUUACCAAGGCUUUGACGGGUAGCCGGCCUGAGAGGGGGACCGGCGACAUUGGGACUGAGAUACGGCGCAGACUCGUACGGGAGGCAGCGGGGGGGAAUAUUGCACAAUGGGCGGAAGCCUGAUGCAGCAACGCCGCGUGCGGGAUGACGGCCUGCGGGGUGUAAACCGCUUUCGCCUGUGACGAAGCGUGAGUGACGGUAAUGGGUAAAGAAGCACCGGCUAACUACGUG
rnacentral:rRNA from 1 species